UACGUAGGGGUGCAAGCGUUAAUCGGAAUUACUGGGCGUAAAGCGCGCGCAGGCGGUCCUUUAAGUCUGAUGUGAAAGCCCACGGCUCAACCGUGGAGGGUCAUUGGAAACUGGGGGACUUGAGUACAGAAGAGAAGAGUGGAAUUCCACGUGUAGCGGUGAAAUGCGUAGAGAUGUGGAGGAACACCAGUGGCGAAGGCGACUCUUUGGUCUGUAACUGACGCUGAGGCGCGAAAGCGUGGGGAGCAAACAG
rnacentral:rRNA from 1 species